UAUUCUUUGGCCUCAGCUGCUACUUCAUUCACCAAAACCGAACGCCCACCCCUCUCCCUCUCUCUAGUACCAAUUUUCUACUGCGUCACGCCUGUCAACCAUUGCCAUUGCUUUGCAGUUGCAUGCUCCUCAUCCUUCUCCCAUCAUCACCGGCACCCGCCCUCCUCAUGUUAAUGGCGAACCUAAAAUUUUAAAUAGUAGUGGUGAUGAAGAGGGUCCAAAAUUAUGGCUUGAGUUAUCAAGUGAACCACCUUGAUUUUUUUGUUUUUAACUUGAACCUUUAAUGACAUCUGAUUCUCCAAGCUUAUCAUCAUUGCAAAUCUAUCACAUUGGGACUGGGAGGCUCAUUUUCAAAACCAAAUUCAUCAUCACUACAAAUGAACACGUUAUCCUUUUAUCUUGAUCUAUUGUGCUCCUUGUUAAUCAUGUAAGCUUUAGGAUCAAACUUUUUUCUGAGAGAGCGUACUGGGGGAGAUGAGAUGAUUGGACUUUAGAUUUACAGUGAGAAUAUAGAGAAGGGUCGAUGUAGGAAAAGUAAUUAAAAAUAUUAUAAUAUUAUUUUUUUAAUCUACAUCAGGAUACAAUUGAUAGAGAAUAAUGGAAAAUUUUGAUUUACUAACUGAGUAAAAUCUAAGAGUAUCACUUUGUCAAAAAAUAAUAUGAGUGAAAUUACAAGGUUUUCGCUAAUAAUAAUAAUAAAGAAUUGGGGCAGCAAAGGAAGCGAUUGGGGAAGAGAAGGGUUUAAAAUUGAAAUCAAA
rnacentral:misc_RNA from 1 species